AACGAACGCUGGCGGCGCGCCUAAUACAUGCAAGUCGAACGAGAAGGUGUAGCAAUACACUUGUACAGUGGCGAACGGGUGAGGAAUGCAUGGGCAACCUACCCUCGAGUGGGGAACAACCAGCCGAAAGGUUGGCUAAUACCGCGUACGCUUCCGGGUCUCCGGAUCCGGAAGGAAAGUCACACCGUGGGUGUGACGCUCAAGGAUGGGCUCAUGUCCUAUCAGCUUGNGGUGAGGUAACGGCUCACCAAGGCAACGACGGGUAGCUGGUCUGAGAGGACGAUCAGCCACACUGGCACUGCGACACGGGCCAGACUCCUACGGGAGGCAGCAGUAAGGAAUAUUGCGCAAUGGGCGAAAAGCCUGACGCAGCGACGCCGCGUGGGGGAUGAAGGUCUUCGGAUUAUAA
rnacentral:rRNA from 1 species